GAACACAAAAUCUUUGAAAAUCCAGGCUAAUACAGUCUGAUGACACAAGUUUGAAAUCCUCCUUAUGAACAUCCUGUCUCCCCCACAUCCUUAUUGCAGUGCCUGAAGUGUGGCAAAAGUAAGAGUUUCAAGGCAUGCAUUGUGUCAGACCAGAGGGACUGAUGAACGAGGAAAAUAUGGCUACACUGGAUGAAUUACCCGCUCCCAUCUUGUAAAUGAAAAGAAGGUUUAUAUUUGCAGUUCUGUAUCCCUUGUUGUUAAGAUUUCCUACCUUGGUUCCUCUGGUUGUUGUAAAGUGGUGAUGAGUAACAUUCUGGAACAAACCUUACUGAGCCAA